GACGAACGCUGGCGGCGUGCUUAACACAUGCAAGUCGAACGCUGAAGCUCAGCUUUUGUUGGGUGGAUGAGUGGCGAACGGGUGAGUAACACGUGAGUAACCUGCCCCCUUCUUUGGGAUAACGCCCGGAGACGGGUGCUAAUACUGGAUAUUCACUGGUCUUCGCAUGGGGGUUGGUGGAAAGGGUUUUUCUGGUGGGGGAUGGGCUCGCGGCCUAUCAGCUUGUUGGUGGGGUGAUGGCCUACCAAGGCUUUGACGGGUAGCCGGCCUGAGAGGGUGACCGGUCACAUUGGGACUGAGAUACGGCCCAGACUCCUACGGGAGGCAGCAGUGGGGAAUAUUGCACAAUGGGCGAAAGCCUGAUGCAGCGACGCCGCGUGAGGGAUGGAGGCCUUCGGGUUGUGAACCUCUUUCGCUCAUGGUCAAGCCGCAACAAUGGUUGUGGUGAGGGUAGUGGGUAAAGAAGCGCCGGCUAACUACGUG
rnacentral:rRNA from 1 species